CGCGUAGGCGGUUUGUACAGUCGGGCGUGAAAUUCCUGGGCUCAACCUGGGGGCUGCGCUCGAGACGUAUGGGCUAGAGUGGGGAAGAGGGUCGUGGAAUUCCCAGUGUAGAGGUGAAAUUCGUAGAUAUUGGGAAGAACACCGGUGGCGAAGGCGGCGACCUGGUCCUUGACUGACGCUGAGGCGCGAAAGCGUGGGGAGCAAACAGGAUUAGAUACCCUGGUAGUCCACGCCGUAAACGAUGUGCGCUGGAUGUUGGGCAACCUAGUUGCUCAGUGUCGUAGCCAACGCGAUAAGCGCACCGCCUGGGGAGUACGGCCGCAAGGUUGAA
rnacentral:rRNA from 1 species